rnacentral:rRNA from 1 species
UACAACGCACUACCUGUUCAUAGUAGUCGUUGCUGUCAACAGCACACUGCUCACCAUCAACGCAGGGGACUACAUCUUCUACACAGACUGGGCGUGGACGUCCUUCGUUGUGUUCUCGGUGGCGCAGGCGACGAUGCAUGCUGUAGGAGCAAUAUACUAAAUGUUCUUCCCACGUGUUCCAGGUACACAAACCUAUUACAACCAGAGCAUUACAAUAUACAAAUGGUGGGAAAAGGGCCCAUGGUUUCAACUGGGAUACACUCACGCACUCGGGCCACAAGACGCCACAAGCACGCUGCCAUACUGAUUGGCGGUACGCUGGUUGGCCUAUCCUUCCCGCUGUUCACCAUGGUCAACCUGUUGCUUGUAAAGGACCCGCUCGAGGUGGCCUUCAAGUAUCCGAGACCGACUCUGCCCGCGUACAUGACGCCUAUAGAGCCUCAGGUAGGGAAGUUCUACAACUCGCCUGUCGCCCUGGGUUCAGGUGCCGGUGCAGUGCUAACGGUACCCAUCGCUGCGUUGGGUGCAAAACUAAACACGUGG